AACGAACGCUGGCGGCGUGCUUAACACAUGCAAGUCGAACGCAUCCUUCGGGGUGAGUGGCAGACGGGUGAGUAACGCGUGGGAACGUGCCCUUCAGUUCGGGAUAACCCAGGGAAACUUGGGCUAAUACCGGAUACGUGCGAGAGCAGAAAGAUUUAUCGCUGAAGGAUCGGCCCGCGUCUGAUUAGCUAGUUGGUGGGGUAAUGGCCCACCAAGGCGACGAUCAGUAGCUGGGCUGAGAGGAUGAUCAGCCACAUUGCUACUGAGAAACGGCGCAGACUCCGACGGGAGGCAGCGGUGGGGAAUAUUGGACAAUGGGCGCAAGCCUGAUCCAGCCGUGCCGCGUGAGUGAUGAAGGCCUUAGGGUUGUAAAGCUCUUUCGUCCGGGACGAUAAUGACGGUACCGGAAGAAGAAGCCCCGGCUAACUUCGUGCCAGCAGCCGCAGUAA
rnacentral:rRNA from 1 species